UUCCACCACAAUGCAGCACCAUGCCUCCUCCAGGGGCCUCUCAACAAGUGUUCUCCUUUAGGGCUGGCAUGCAUGUGCCCAACUUGCUCACUGAACAGACUACCUUGGCCUGCUCAGCUACUCACCCUUGACACCUUCAUCAAGCACUGGUGCUCUGCUCAGCCCAGGGUCCCACAGCUCCUGUGUCCACACGUGAGUAUGCACAUGUCCGUUCUCCCAGCAUGUGCUGCCUGUCUGCCCAGGAGGCGGCUGACAGGGCAAUCCUCCCACCAGGGUUCUGGCCAGGACAAACGAGGGGCUUCCCCAUGAUCCGGGUCCCUGGCAGUUAACAGGCUCCUUGUCUUGCCUCGAUGGCCCCAGGAGACAAUCCCAAAAAGACCACAGUUAGAAAUCAGGACGUUUCCCAGGGUUUAGCUGCCAGGUUUAUCCAUGGCCAUCUGAUUACAUAUUUUAAAUCAUUGCAACGGUAAAUUAUCCAUUUUACCAGCCUGGUGCUGGAAUUCACUUUUUUAUUGAUGGAAACUCUGCAGUUUUACAUUAGUUAUAAGGGGACUUCAAGGUUGCUUAUGAGAGGUUUUGCCCAUACAAAAAAGUUUAGGAGUUAUUUAUGUCCCAAAAAUGAGGGACUGGGAUGGGCUGGUUGUUUCCCAAAAAUCAGUGAUUUGGCUUGAUUUGCUAUUAAUCAAUUUUCCUCACUUCUUUUGAAUUUGAUCUUAUCUAAUGAGAAGUAAAUAAGUGGACAAAGUUAGUGAGUCGAAUCAAGAAGCAACUGGAAAAUUCCCACCAAAAUGAGGAGAUUUUCUUUUUAAAGUCCUGCCACUUCUGCUUUCUUUCAUAUAUAAGGGGAAAAUUCUAGUUAUGAAAGAGAAGCUGAAGGAUGGCUGGAGAUUAUCACAGAUUUUAAUGGUGAUUUUUUAAAAAAGGUUACUAUCUUAAUUUUAUUCUGCACCAAAUAAGGACAUAUUUUCUACUGUUGUCUGCCUGUCAUAACCUUUUUUUUCUCUAAUUGUUUGGAUGGUGUGAGAUCCUCUAUAGUCUCAUAGAACCUAAGCCAGAAGCAGGAACCUUCUGCAUAACCACGAAUCCUCAGGUGAUUCCUUUUGAGAAUUCUGGGGGAUGGACAGAGGAAACGAAAGCAAAUUUCCACAACCAAAGAGGGUAAAUAUUAUAGGCAUCUGGAGCACCUUUGGAAGCUGGUGAAGGAGAUAUACCAGAGUGUGGGUGGUUUCUAGCACCUUCAUAUCAGUCCAUGUCGGCUGCUGCUAGAAGCUGGCACUGUGUUCAAAUUAUAAAUCACCCAAUAAACCACGACAAAGGAAAACAUUGGCAAGCCACCUCCAGCUGGGUGAUGAAGGCUUUAUGAAGAGAAGAUUCUUACCUGUGCUUAAGGAAUAUGGGAGCGUCUUUCAGAAAACUGGAGGGAACGCCAUCCCUGGACACAACUGGAUUUGUCUGCCAUGUGUUGGCAUGCCUGGGGGCCUUUCACCUCGGGGUUCCAUGAUUUGGGACAGAUUUCAUGGUGGGCUCUGUUGAAUAGGAAAUAUACUGUUGGAAAUAAGACAGGACAGAAGCCUUCCAGCUCCAUCAUUCUGAGCUUUUCCUAGGUUCACACUGGGUUUUUUGAGCUCCCAAAUGCUGUAUCACAGUGAACUCAUAUGGAAAGGCAAACCUUCUUAUCCUGAACUGUAUGGGUCAAAUACUUCCUUCAAGGCAGACUCAAAUGCUGGGAGGAUCCCUCCCUCCUCUCUUCCUCUCCAAUUUCGGCCUCCUGACGUCAGUGAAGCUUUUACUGGCCUAGACACUUUGGCCUUGGGCCCAGAAAGCAUCAUUGUGGACAGCCCAGACCUGAGGCUGAUGGCCCAGAUAAUUGGACAAUCUGGGCCCAGAUACCAGUUUCCAAAACCAAAGAGAUUUCUGUGUUGCGUGACCUAUCAUUUAAGCCAGACAGAAAAGCUUUGACAUUUCUUCUCCAUUCCCUCUUUUUAAACAAUGUAAAAUGCUGUUCCACAUCUAAUUGUACUGGAGAAAUGUGACAACUAUAAUUUUAGGCCUCAAAUGCCCACAAACAGUUUUGUAAAUCUUACAGACUCUAUUCAUCAAUAAAUUGUG
rnacentral:lncRNA from 1 species